UGGGGAAUUUUGGACAAUGGGCGAAAGCCUGAUCCAGCAAUGCCGCGUGUGUGAAGAAGGCCUUCGGGUUGUAAAGCACUUUUGUCCGGAAAGAAAUCCUUGGCUCUAAUGCAGUCGGGGGAUGACGGUACCGGAAGAAUAAGCACCGGCUAACUACGUGCCAGCAGCCGCGGUAAUACGUAGGGUGCAAGCGUUAAUCGGAAUUACUGGGCGUAAAGCGUGCGCAGGCGGUUUGCUAAGACCGAUGUGAAAUCCCCGGGCUCAACCUGGGAACUGCAUUGGUGACUGGCAGGCUAGAGUAUGGCAGAGGGGGGUAGAAUUCCACGUGUAGCAGUGAAAUGCGUAGAGAUGUGGAGGAAUACCGAUGGCGAAGGCAGCCCCCUGGGCCAAUACUGACGCUCAUGCACGAAAGCGUGGGGAGCAAACAGGAUUAGAUACCCUGGUAGUCCACGCCCUAAACGAUGUCAACUAGUUGUUGGGGACUUCAUUUCCUUAGUAACGUAGCUAACGCGUGAAGUUGACCGCCUGGGGAGUACGGUCGCAAGAUUAAAACUUAAAUGAAUUGAC
rnacentral:rRNA from 1 species